AUAAGGGUAAAAUGGUCAUUAAA
rnacentral:siRNA from 1 species